CGCCCCCGCCGCCCCCGCCCUCCCGGCCCAGCUCGCUGCCCGGGUCCCCGGGGGCGCUCCGAGCCCGCGCCCCCGCCCCCCGGAGCGCCCUUGCUCCGCCCGGCCGCUGCGCGCCUAGGAAAAUCCCCCCGCUGCCGCCCGCCGCCGGCGCCCGGUGAUGUCAUUGUUUGUGGAAAUCUGCACAGCUCCGGGAACGGAAUUACGAGAAGAAGUGGAUGGAGCAAAUUGAAUCAUGCGCAAGAUGGUGGCUUAGAAGCUGACAGUGUGGCUCAGUGAGGGACAAGAGUCAAGGAUGAAAAAACAAUCUCUCUCUUCCGAUAAAGAGUGGAUGUGCUGGUGCUUUCUCAUCGUCCCAGUGCCAAGGAGGUGAAGACAGUUUGGAAGUGAGCCUUAUGUUCCAAUGAGACACCUCGUCUAGAAAACAGAAUAAAGAGCCCCUGAGAAACUAUGUUCCAGGUUGAUUCCUGUCCACACACAGCUGCACACAUGGUCACACCCCCCAGACCAGCUGGGUUGGCUACUGAGCCCUGGAAUCUGUCAGUCUGCAGCUCCUUUGUACUGGCGUGGAAGGAAAAGCUGGGCAAUAGUUGUAAGCUCUCACAGCAAACAACUGCUGACCAACAUUUCUACAACAUGCAAAGAUAGCUUUUAAAAUUGACAUAGAAAUAACAUUUCAAAAAACAAUUCAUUUCAGGACAACCAAGAGAGCACUGCAGAAAGUUAUUUAUAGGGACACUAUAUCCCAAAGAAGAAGAAAGAAUUAAUCAUGAGAGCAUGGGAAAUAAUGAGUCUCAUGAGAAAAGAGGAUGAACAAGGGACAGUGAGGAAAAAAAAUCAAUCACAUCCUACAUAGUCAACUGCCAAAUUUCUGAUGCUAGUGGAGAAGAAAGAAAAAAAAUGAAAAAUAAUCAAUUCAACUAGAAAAACAACCAACAAAGAGCACAGGGCUUAGUAUACACCUUUCAGUUACAACAUGAAUUGUAAAUGACUUCAACUUAUCAAUAAAGAGACAGAGUGGAUGACACUAAUAAAAAUACUAUAUCCAAUUACUA